ACGGAGGGCAGCAGUGGGGAAUAUUGCACAAUGGGGGAAGCCCUGAUGCAGCGACGCCGCGUGAGUGAAGAAGUAUUUCGGUAUGUAAAGCUCUAUCAGCAGGAAAGAAAAUGACGGUACCUGACUAAGAAGCCCCGGCUAACUACGUGCCAGCAGCCGCGGUAAUACGUAGGGGGCAAGCGUUAUCCGGAUGUACUGGGUGUAAAGGGAGCGUAGACGGUAAGGCAAGUCUGAAGUGAAAUGCCAGGGCUCAACCCUGGAACUGCUUUGGAAACUGUCCUACUAGAGUGCAGGAGAGGUAAGUGGAAUUCCUAGUGUAGCGGUGAAAUGCGUAGAUAUUAGGAGGAACACCAGUGGCGAAGGCGGCUUACUGGACUGUAACUGACGUUGAGGCUCGAAAGCGUGGGGAGCAAACAGGAUUAGAUACCCUGGUA
rnacentral:rRNA from 1 species